rnacentral:tRNA from 1 species
GGGCCGUUAGCUCAACUAGGUAGAGCAGUGGACUCUUAAUCCAUAGGUUAUAGGUUCGAUUCCUAUACGGCCCACCA